rnacentral:misc_RNA from 1 species
AACAUCGCGCACCUGCGGGAACCUGCGGAAGGAUCAUUACCGAGUUUACAACUCCCAAACCCCUGUGAACAUACCUAUACGUUGCCUCGGCGGAUCAGCCCGCGCCCUGUAAAACGGGACGGCCCGCCCGAGGACCCUAAACUCUGUUUUUAGUGGAACUUCUGAGUAAAACAAACAAAUAAAUCAAAACUUUUAGCAAUGGAUCU